GCCGCGGUAAUACGGAGGGUGCAAGCGUUAAUCGGAAUUACUGGGCGUAAAGCGCACGCAGGCGGUCUGUCAAGUCGGAUGUGAAAUCCCCGGGCUCAACCUGGGAACUGCAUUCGAAACUGGCAGGCUUGAGUCUUGUAGAGGGGGGUAGAAUUCCAGGUGUAGCGGUGAAAUGCGUAGAGAUCUGGAGGAAUACCGGUGGCGAAGGCGGCCCCCUGGACAAAGACUGACGCUCAGGUGCGAAAGCGUGGGGAGCAAACAGGAUUAGAUACCCUGGUAGUCCACGCCGUAAACGAUGUCUACUUGGAGGUUGUGCCCUUGAGGCGUGGCUUCCGGAGCUAACGCGUUAAGUAGACCGCCUGGGGAGUACGGCCGCAAGGUUAAAACUCAAAUGAAUUGACGGGGGCCCGCACAAGCGGUGGAGCAUGUGGUUUAAUUCGAUGCAACGCGAAGAACCUUACCUGGUCUUGACAUCCACAGAACUUUCCAGAGAUGGACUGGUGCCUUCGGGAACUGUGAGACAGGUGCUGCAUGGCUGUCGUCAGCUCGUGUUGUGAAAUGUUGGGUUAAGUCCCGCAACGAGCGCAACCCUUAUCCUUUGUUGCCAGCGGUUAGG
rnacentral:rRNA from 1 species